rnacentral:lncRNA from 1 species
ACAGUUCAGUAAUUGUCCACUUGUGCAAUGAAUGUUCAGAAGUCUUUUCAUCUUUUUUUUUAGAAAGAGAGAGAAAGAGAGAGAGAGAAUUUUUUUUAAUAUUUAUUUUUUAGUUCUCGGGGAACACAACAUCUUUGUUUGUAUGUGGUGCUGAGGAUCGAACCCGGGCCGCACACAUGCCAGGCGAACACGCUACCGCUUGAGCCACAUCCCCAGCCCAAGUCUUUUCAUCUUACAAGAUAGGGAAAACUCUAUGUCCUUUAUUAACAACUUAUUUUCCAUUACACCCAGCCCCUGAUAGUCAGCACUCUGAACUUCAUUAGUACUCUCUCUAAGGAAAAUUGUUUUGAAUCUUAUUAUUUUGUGCCUCAUUU